UACGUAGGGCGCAAGCGUUAUCCGGAAUUAUUGGGCGUAAAGAGCUCGUAGGCGGUUUGUCGCGUCUGCUGUGAAAACUCGGGGCUUAACUCCGGGCCUGCAGUGGGUACGGGCAGACUAGAGUGCGGUAGGGGAGACUGGAAUUCCUGGUGUAGCGGUGGAAUGCGCAGAUAUCAGGAGGAACACCUAUAGCGAAGGCAGCUUGCUGGGACGUUACUGACGCUAAGGCGCGAAAGCGUGGGGAGCGAACAGG
rnacentral:rRNA from 1 species